rnacentral:rRNA from 1 species
GACGAACGCUGGCGGCGUGCUUAACACAUGCAAGUCGAGCGGUAAGGCCCUUUCGGGGGUACGACGAGCGGCGAACGGGUAGGAGUAACAACGUGGGUGGACCUCGCCCUCCAGCUCUGGGAGUAAGCCCGGGAAACGUAGGGUCGUAAUACUGGAUAUGACUCCAUGACGCAUGUUGUGGGGUGGGAAAGCCUUGUGCGGCUGAGGAUGGGCCCGCGGCCUAUCAGCUUGUUGGGUGGGGGGA